rnacentral:rRNA from 1 species
UACAGAGGGGGCAAGCGUUGUUCGGAAUUACUGGGCGUAAAGGGCGCGUAGGCGGCCUUCUAAGUCGAACGUGAAAUCCCUGGGCUCAACCCAGGAACUGCGUCCGAUACUGGGAGGCUUGAAUCCGGGAGAGGGAUGUGGAAUUCCAGGUGUAGCGGUGAAAUGCGUAGAUAUCUGGAGGAACACCGGUGGCGAAGGCGGCAUCCUGGACCGGUAUUGACGCUGAUGCACGAAAGCCAGGGGAGCAAACGGG